UUUUCUCUUUUCAAUUCAUUCAAGCUGGCGAUCGUUAAUCAAGACUCCUAAAUCCGUGAAAUCAAGCCCAAAAACAGAAGAAUCAUGGGGCCCGAUGAAGAAGACAACAACAGGUGGCCGCCAUGGAUGAAACCUUUGUUGAGGGAACAAUUCUUCGUUCAAUGCAUGCUUCAUCUCGACUCACACAAGAGUGAAUGCAAUAUGUACUGUUUAGACUGCAUGAAUGGCGCUCUCUGUUCCUUUUGCCUUGCUUAUCACAAGGAUCAUCGUUCCAUUCAGAUAAGGAGAUCUUAGUACCAUGAUGUAAUAAGGGUAUCUGAGAUUCAAAAGUAUUUAGACAUAUC